rnacentral:tRNA from 1 species
GGGCAUUUGUUCUAGUGGUAUGGUUCUCGCUUAGAGUGUGAGAGGUCCCGAGUUCAAUUCUCGGAAUGCCCC